rnacentral:rRNA from 1 species
CCCUUAGAUGUUCUGGGCCGCACGCGCGCUACACUGAUGCAUUCAACGAGUCUAAAACCUGCUCUGAUAGGGGUGGGUAAUCUUUUGAAUGUGCAUCGUGAUUGGGAUAGAUGAUUGCAAUUUUUCAUCUUCAACGAGGAAUGCCUAGUAAACGCAAGUCAUCAGCUUGCAUUGAUUACGUCCCUGCCCUUUGUACACACCGCCCGUCGCUCCUACCGAUUGAAUGAUCCGAUGAAUAUCAUGGAUUGAGGAUGUAAGCAGGUUCGCCUGUCUUCAUCUUCGAGAAGUGAAGUAAAUCUUAUCAUUUAGAGGGAGGAGAAGUCGUAACA